AUUGAACGCUGGCGGCAGGCCUAACACAUGCAAGUCGAGCGGAUGAAGGGAGCUUGCUCCUGGAUUCAGCGGCGGACGGGUGAGUGAUGCCUAGGAAUCUGCCUGGUAGUGGGGGAUAACGUCAGGAAACGGGCGCUGAUACCGCAUACGUCCAGAGGGAGAAAGGGGGGGAUCUUCGGACCUCACGCUAUUAGAUGAGCCUAGGUCGGAUUAGCUAGUUGGUGGGGUAAAGGCCUACCAAGGCGACGAUCCGUAACUGGUCUGAGAGGGUGAUCAGUCACACUGGAACUGAGACACGGUCCAGACUCCUACGGGAGGCAGCAGUAGGGAAUAUUCGACAAUGGGCGAAAGCCUGAUCCAGCCAUGCCGCGUGUGUGAAGAAGGUCUUCGGAUUGUAAAGCACUUUAAGUUGGGAGGAAGAGCAGUAAGUGAAUACCUUGCUGUUUUGACGUUACCAACAGAAUAAGCACCGGCUAACUUCGUG
rnacentral:rRNA from 1 species